CCAGCACUUCGGGGGAAGGACUAUGGCAAGUCGAAAAUGAGUUAUCCGGACUAUACAGAAACUGAAUCAGGUCUUCAGUACAAGGACUUGCGAGUAGGAGAUGGCCCCAAACCGAAGGUAGGAGAGACCGUUGUGGUUGAUUGGGAUGGGUACACCACAGGAUCGUAGUGCCCCCAGAAUUGGGAUAUCCUGAGAAUGACUACAACAAGAGUGCCCCAAGGCCGAC